AGUACAGUGCCAGAGCAUAUGGACCGCCUUGAUGUGGUGAGAACGGUGGGGAGCGUGUACCACCCUGUGCUU
rnacentral:tRNA from 1 species